rnacentral:rRNA from 1 species
CCUACGGGAGGCAGCAGUGGGGAAUAUUGGACAAUGGGGGGAACCCUGAUCCAGCGACGCCGCGUGAGUGAAGAAGUAUUUCGGUAUGUAAAGCUCUAUCAGCAGGGAAGAAAGAAAUGACGGUACCUGACUAAGAAGCCCCGGCUAACUACGUGCCAGCAGCCGCGGUAAUACGUAGGGGGCAAGCGUUAUCCGGAUUUACUGGGUGUAAAGGGAGCGUAGACGGCGAUGCAAGUCUGAAGUGAAAGGCGGGGGCUCAACCCCCGGACUGCUUUGGAAACUGUAUGGCUGGAGUGCAGGAGAGGUAAGUGGAAUUCCUAGUGUAGCGGUGAAAUGCGUAGAUAUUAGGAGGAACACCAGUGGCGAAGGCGGCUUACUGGACUGUAACUGACGUUGAGGCUCGAAAGCGUGGGGAGCAAACAGGAUUAGAUACCCGUGUAGUC